rnacentral:lncRNA from 1 species
GGAAAUUAAAUGUAAAUAAUAUCAUAAUAAUCCUAACAAUAAUCCUAAAAAUAAAAUUCGACUUUAAGUAAAGUCUUCUAUUCAUAAAUCUCUUCUUUGAAUUUUUGCCCUAAGUCUUUUGCAGUUUUUAUUUUCAACACCAUUUCUUUCCUAUUUCGCAUACUAUCCCAUUUUGUCUUUAAAUUCACGAUUUUUUCCCCAAACUUCCUUUUUCUUUCAAUUUAGUCACUACAAGAUAAAAACCCAUAAAAGGCCCAAAUUAGUAGGAUCAUGCUCAAAAUAUAUAUACAAUUAACACAUAAAAGUAUGUCAUUUUAGAGUAUUAUCAGUAACACCCCAAACUCAACCUAGAUGUUAUGAUCAGAUUAUGAAGGUUACAUUGCUAGAUAAAAUAAAACUAUUGCUUAUUUUGGAGGAAAAAAACCAAUCCCAGUGGGUUGAAAAUUCCAUCGUCUCGCUCUUUUAUAAAACAUACUAAUCAUUUCAAUAGUUCAAGCUAAUUCACCUAUUCACCUAUAAUCAUAGCGUACCAAAUUAUUUUUAGUGAAAUCCUUAAAUUUAGUUUGCAGCGGCGAAUACUUAAAACUUAUAGUUUGAAAAAAAAUGGAGUUCAUUUUACUUGCCCUAAGUUGGAUUGUUAAUCGUUUUGAGCUUUAGCAUAAUAAUACAUUUAGUCCUAAUGAUCUAAAGAAAUCAUAAAAUGUCCAAAAGUUAUACAAACCAUAAUAAAGUCUGAAAUGUUCAAUUUAAAUCAAAUAGUAUAAAACCAUGAAAUACUAAAUCAAAAUGUGAAAUCCGUUGCGCAAUCCAAUGUUAAGUAGGAGGGUUACCUGAAACAAAUCAUACAGGAGCAUGAGCUUAUAGCCUAAUGUGUGAUUUGGCCUAUAAUUCCAAAACAUACAUUUUCAUAUUCAUCAAUAUUAUAUCAGAAUAUCAUACAACGCAUUUAUUUCAAAUAAAUCAUAUCUUAUCAAAAUGCAUGAAGAUAUUAACUUAUCAUACUAUAGCAUAACAUACUAAAUCUAAGAUUGAAAGAAAAUCCAAAGACUAAAGAAGAAAAAGAGAAUAAAAAAAUAACAAAAGAAGAUGAUAAAGAAAUCAAGGAACAGACGUGCAAGCAAGAAAGAAAAAAAUAACAAAAGAAGAUGAUAAAGAAAUCAAGGAACAGACGUGCAAGCAAGAAAGGGAAAGAAAGAAAAAUAAACGUGGGUGGUUACAAAAUUGAAAAAUAAAAGGGAUUUUGAUAAAAGUUAAAUCAAAUAAAACAAAUAAGAUUUAUCACCAAAUUUUUAAUAGAAUUCCACUCGAAUUCAGCUUCCCACAUAUAGCAAACAAUAAAAAUAAUCAUAUGCUCACGCUAGGACCCCAAAAUAUGCUAAAGCUUAACCACUGAACCACUAGGCUCAUCAUUUUCAUACUCCAACACAGAAACUAAUUUAAGCCAUAAAGCUCAAGCCCAACUUAAAACCAAAAAUUAAUAGGAGAAAAUCCAAAAUUUAGGAAUUGAACUUGAGUCUUAAAGCAUACUCCUAAGGCACACAACCACAAUACCAAAUCAAAUCUUUUUACAAUCACAUUCCAAAAAUCAAAAUUUUGGGGUGUUACAAAAUUCUAUGUAUUUAAUCUUUGAAUUAUAGCUUUUCAAAUGAUCACUUGAACGUAUUUGCGAAGCAUUCAUAUCACCAUUCUUUUGAAGUCACGAGUGAGGAAAAUUUUUGGAAAAAAUAUAUUUUGAUCUAUUCAAGAGUUUCAAUAAUAAUCAUAGAAAAUUUUGAUCAUAACCGAUAUACGAAAAUACAAAUAGGUAUUUUGAAUCAUUUUAUAAUCUUCCUUCAAGUAUUAUUCAUCGAGUCAAUUUUACUACAUAUGUUCAAAUCAUUCCAAUUCAUAUAAUUGAUUGUACAAACAUAUUGAACACUUUCCUAGGAAUUUCUAUAAUCUUCUAUUAUUCUAAAUCCUUUAAGGAUUUCAAUAUAAACUUCACUGUAUAGUGAUCCAUAUAGAUGUUGUAACAACAACAUUAGAUGCGUGCUAAAUCUUUAAUGAACUGCCGGACUAAUGAGAUAUCUAAAGGUUUAAUGCAUCCGUCACAAAAGAAUAUUAUAUCUUCUUAUAAUCAAUGCUAGAACUUAACAAAAAACUUUAUCUUUCUUUUUCAUUUCUACUAAAGUACAUAUUCGUACCUCACUGGCUUUAUACCUUUAGAUGUUUGGACUACUAGUCCAAAACUUUCACAAUUUUAAUUCUACUUUAAUUGUGUCUUUCCUUUUUUGGCCAAUUUAGUCCAUGUAUAUGUUUCUCAACAGUCAAGAUCCUUCGCUUCUUUUAUUAUUUCAAUAAUAAAAUCUCACGCAAAAUUGUUGUCAACAACUUUCUAUUUUCCAUAGUUCCAUAUUUUCUCGAUUAACAUAACUUAUCGAAAUCUUUUUAUUUUAAUUAUUUCCAUCUUUAUGUACCUGAAUCUUUUAUGGAGUUUUAAUAAUUAGUUAUGUAUUAGAUCUAUUCAAGAGCACCACUUCCACUAUAUGACAAUCUUGAUUUAUCAUCUUUGGAACCAAUUUAUCUAUCGCACUUCAGGCAAGCAUUACUUUCAUUUAUUCUAUCAAAAUUUCCUACUAGGAGUUUGACACAUCUGUUGGCAUAUAAGACUUGAUUAUUCUCAUUAGGCCCGUAAAUACAUUUGGUUGUAAAUCAAAUAUUGUGUGGGUAUAUAAAACUUGGUUAUUCUUAUUAGGUUAGAGAUGCAUUUGACAAUAAAAAAAAAUAUUGUGUGGCUAUCAAAGAUUUUGAAGAGGAUAAACAAAAUUGAGAAUCAUCGUGCUAAUAAACGUGUUAUGAAAAAAAUAAUAAAAAGAAUAAAGAAUAAAAGAAAUAGACGAAACAAGAGAACUUUGAAUUUUAUUGGUCAAUCAGAUGUUUAUAAUGUUUCUCUAAAACCUAUAUUUAUAGACAUAAAAACUAUACAUGGUAUAAAACUCUAAUUCUAGUAAAUGUUAAAAUUCUAAUGUGUACCAAACAUAUCUUAAUAUUAAUAGAUAUUCACUUAAUGACAAAUUAUUCACAUAUUAGAAUAAUGGUUUUGUCUUUACUGGUAGACUGUAUUUUCUUAAGGCCCAUGGUUUUAAAACUAUAGUUUUAAGAAUACAGUAUGAAAUAAAUACAGCCACGUAUGGAACUGUGAAUUCUUUUUACAGUUAAUUUGGGUUUAUGGCAAGUUUUGGUAUAUAUCAUCUGACAAAGCAAUAAACAUUUACAUGAAACAGUAAGUAAUUUAUUUCUAAAAUAAAUAUUUUUAUUAAUUGUGUAUUGCAUUUAUUUCUAAAAUCUUCUUAAUGAGGUGUUAAAGGUUUUAAAUAAGUUAACAUUAUCUUAUAAUGGAUUUAUACAUUAAAUAUAUUAAAUGCUAACCAUAUAUGCAUAUAUAAUGAUUCUUGCUUUAAUGAUAUCCGAUUAAUAUUUACAAGCAAAUAUAGGUAAAUGUCAAAAAUUACAAAUCAUCAUCACCUUAUAUAUAACUAUAGUUAAUUUCACAACAAUUUACAAUGAUUUAAUAUAUAAUUACAUUAUUUUUGGGUAAAAUAUGUUAUAAUUCUCUAUACUUGUUAAAAUUUUGAAAUUUAAUCCUUUUAUUUUAUUACAAAAAAUUUAGCCUUUUUAUUUUUUAGAUUUUAAAAUUCAUGUCUAACUGUUGACAUUAUUAUAUAUAUUUAUAUAAUCAUUCUUAUGAAAUAUAUAGCAUUUUAUUUUUAAAUUUGUUUAAUUUUAAACCUCAUAUAUACUAUAUAUAUGAAUAUUAGCAUUUAUAAGUAAUUUUUUAUACAAAGCUCAAUUCUUAAAAUAAAAGAUAUUAGUUAUUUAAAUGUUUUCGAGCUAACUCUGUCUUUUGACAUGCUCCCUCUCUGUCUUUUGACGUGUUUUGUUUUGCUCUUGGUAGCACGUUAACUUUAUUUUGCCUACAAUUUUGUUUUUGAUUUUUCUCCAAUUUACGUGUUUCUCUGCAGCUUUUCACUAUUGGAAGACUCUAUGGCAAGUCUUUCUCUAGAGGAGAUGGAAGAGGACUUAAUUCAGUUAGGGGUUGAAUCGGUUGAUAAUGAAAUUUCUUAUGUGAAUUGUUUUGUUGCAAUGUUCUUUACCUCCAGUGUGGUUCAUUUUCAAGCGAUAAGAUCUACUUUGGCCAAUGUUUGGCACCCUAUUGGUGAAGUCUCUAUAUCAGAUCUUGAGAAUGGUCAAUUUUUAUUUCGUUUUUAUUUUCAAGUUGAUGUGGAUUGGGUGGAGAGGAAUGGCUUGUGGAAUUUUUAAUUCCCAUUUGUUGGUUCUUAAUUAUUCAAUACAAGGGGAGAAUCCUUUGACUGUUCAGUUAACAGAAGUGAGUUUCUGGAUUCUUGUUAAUGAUAUCCCUCAUGGUUUCAUGUUUGAGGUUGUUGCGAAACAAUUGGGGAAUUUUGUUGGGACUUUCCUUGAAUAUGACACUUCGGUAGUUCAAUUAGCGUACAGAGGAAUAAUAAGGUUGAGAGUCCGGUUAGAUGUUGGUAGUCCUUCAAAAAGAAAGAAAAAGCUUUUACUCCCAAAUGGUACGUCUGUCUACGUUUGUUUUGAAUAUGAGAAACUCUUUUUUGUUUUAUUUGUGAAAAAUUAGGGCAUGGUGAGAGUUUUUGCCCAAUAAGAGCGAUUAUUCUGAAUCAAGAGUACGAGUAUAAGUGUAUAUCUCACUUCGUGCUCAGUCGAAAAGAACUAUGGCGUGAAGGAGCCAAUUGCUGGUGGAGGAUAGUGGCGAAAAAGGCCCAAGUUAUGGUAAUUCCAAAAAUAAUGGCAAGAUGGAUUCGUAAGCCAAGGAAUAACUAAGGGAUUUUUUUUAAUUUUUCUCUCUCUUCAAAAGGAAAAGUCGAAGUCAAGGAAUAACUAAGGGAUCUCCUUCUAAUUUUUCUCUCUACAAAAGGAAAACUCAAAUAUUUCCAUAUUAACUGGGCCUAUAGUUAGGAGUGGAUUAGGCCAUUAUUUUAACACAGCUAAUAGUAGUUUUGAUGGUGAGAUGGCAAUUCGUGAAGAAGAAAAUAGCCCAAUGCGUAAUUUGGAUGGGCUAAAGCGUCCUCAAACCUUUUCAUUUGCUUCGGGAGUUUCUGCUAAUAAGGAUUCAAUCGAAUUUUUGGGUAUUUUGAUCAAGUACCUAAUCAAAUAAGACCGACACGCCUUAACAAUGAGGCCACCCAAAAGCAAUAAAGCUUCUCAGCUGAAUCGUUCGGGGUUUGGAAAGACCCCGAAUAGUUUAACGUCUCUGGCAUAUGCUAAGAGACUCUAACCCAUCUGUGGUUUUUUUUAUUGAAACAAAACUACAUGGUUCUAGAAUGGAAAAGAUCAAGUGUAAGUGUGGUUACAUUAAUGGAAUUGAUGUUGACUCGGAUGGAAGAAGUGGGGGUUUAUCUAUGAGGUGGAAAAGUGGUUGCAAGGUGUCGCUUUGAACGUACUCUAGAUAACAUAUUGAUAUUAUGAUUGAUGAAGAUUCGGAGAGGUUGGGAUAGAGGUGCACAGGUUUCUACGAAGCUCCGGAAGAAAAUGAAAUAGAGGCUUCUUGGAAUUUUUUUACGGUCUUUCAAUGAUUGCCUACAAAUCUCUUGGGAGUCAUCGGGGAUUUUAAUGAAAUAGCUUUCAUGUCAGAGAAAUAAGGUGGUUUAGUCAGACAUGAAAGUCAAAUGAGAAAGUUUUGAGAAAUGUUAUUUGAUUGUAAUAUCUUUGAUCUUGGUUACACGGGACAGUGGUUGAUUUGGGAGAUGGCAUGCACCAUUUCUAAUAGCAUAAGUGAAUGGUUAGAUCGAGCUGUAGCUAAUGACGAUUGGUGGUCUUUAUUUCCAAAUUACAAAGUGUCUCAUCUAUCAUACUUCUUUUCAAAUCAUUAUCCUUUACUUCUAAAUUCGAAGGUGGAGAGUCUAAGCACUAAAGUGCAUCACUUUCUCUUUGAGGCGGCAUGACUUUUGGAGGAUACUUGUGAAACAGAGGUAAAGAACUUGUGGGAUACUAGUUCAGGCACUCUUCCUACGAGACUUUGCAAGGGUGGGGAAGGGUUGGAUAAGUGGUUUGCACGAGUUAAACAUGAAAUAUCCAUGUCUAGGAAGGACCUUGAGAGGCAGCUCUAAAGGUUAAAUAAGUCAACUCCAUUUAAUGCAGUUUUGGGGGACAUUGUUGAUACAAAGCUAGCUUUUAGUAUGGAGGCCAAUAAGGAGGAGCUGUAUUGGGAACAAAGAGCUAGAGCAAGCUGGCUGAAAAAUGGUGACCGAAACAUGAACCUUUUUCAUAAAGCAGCAUUUGCUAGGAAGAGAAGGAAUACGGUGGAUAAGUUGGUAGAUACUAAUGGGAAUAUUGAUGAUAGUAACGAAGGCUUUCUGUCACAUGCCACUAGUUAUUUUGGUGCCCUAUUUUUGUCAACAGGAGUUACAAAUGCUGAUGCCAUACUUGAGAGAGUUGAUCCUUGUAUUACGGCAUCUAUGAAUGAUGAUCUCGUAAGGGGUUUUUAUUAUGAAGAGUUGUGCUUGGCCCUCAAAAAUAUGAGCCCACUAAAGGCUUCGAGAGAGGACAGUUUGGGUGCGGUGUUUUAUCAAAGAUUCUGGCACAUUAUGGGUAAUGAGGUUGUGAGCUACUGUAUUGAGGUGCAACAUAGUGACCACAAUAUCUUUGAAUUAAAUUAGACACAAAUCAUUUUAAUUCCAAAGGACAGUAAUCCUAGCUCUAUGGCUCACUUUUGACAAAUUAACCUCUGUACUAUUUUGUACAAAAUUGUUGCAAAAAUGCUUAGUCAACAGAUUUCAGUCAGCUUUACACUUCUAUAUCGAUGAAGCGCAAAACACUUUUGUGCCUGGUAGACUCAUCUUUGAUAAUAUACUAGCCGCAUAUGGAAUUCUUCAUUCGAUGUGUAAGAGAAGAAUGGGGAAAUUGGGUUCAUUUGCUUUAAAGCUCAACAUGAGCAAAACAUGUGAUAGGGUGGAAUGACCUUUUCUUAUGAUCAUGCUUAAAAGAAUAGGUUUUUCUGAAUAUUGAGUUCAAAAAAUAAUGAGAUGUGUUGAAUCAAUUUCUUAUUCAGUGGAUUUGAAUGGGCAGAUUGGCGAAAGGUUUUUUCCAACUUAAGGGCUUAGACAAGGUGACCCACUUAUUCCUUAUUUAUUUCUCAUAUGCAGCGAGGGGUUAUUGGCUUUGCUACGUUUGGCUUCUACAAUGGGUGCACUUAAGGGAGUUCAUGUGAAUCGACAUGCCCCACUCAUCACUUAUCUACUUUUUGUGGAUGAUAGUUUAAUUUUAAGAGAGGCUAAGAUAAAAGGGGCUAUGACUCUUAAAGAUAUACAAACUAUGCUGAUAGUUUGGGACAACUGAUAAAUUUUGAUAAAUCAGGAUCGUUUUUCAGUUCAAAUUUGAGCUAGGAAAAAAGGGAGAAUGUUUGUCGAAUAUUGGGAGUUAAUUCGAGCAACAAUCCCACGAGAAAAAAAAAGUUGGCGUUUAAGGAGAUAAAGGAGAAAUUGAGUAAAUGGGUGGCUAGUUGGAGUGCGAGGAUGCUUUCUAUUGGGGGUAGAGAAGUCCUUAUCAAAGUAGUGCUUAAGCAAUCCCAUUAUAUGCAUUGUCGUUUUUUUUCUUUUACUUAGUUUAUUCAUAAAGAAUUAGAAGUAGUGAUUGCAAAGUUCUGGUGGCAGAAAAAAGUUGGCAAGAGUGGUUUGCAUUGGUGCUCAUGAAAAUCCCUGUGUGCUUCAAAAAUAGAUGGGGGAAUAGGCUUUCAGGACUUAUCAAAGUUCAAUAUCGCACUUUUAGCUAAGCAAGGGUGGAGGUUAAUGGAAAAUCCUAAUUCACUAAUGGCAAGACUCAUUUGUGCUAAGUACUACUAUGAUUCAAACUUUCUUGCGGCAUCAUUAGGUUCCAGUCCAUCUCUCAUAUGGCAGAGUAUUUGGAGUUCUAAAGCUUUGCUUGAAUCAGGUCUUCAAUGGAGGAUUGGAUCGGGUCAGUCCAUCUCAAUUUGGAAUGAUUAUUGGCUUCCGGGGCUUCAUUGGGAAAGGAUUGUUUCUAAUCCAUUUCCAGAAUUGAAUUGGGUUAGCGACUUAAGGCUGCCUAGUUCAAAUAGUUGGAAUCAUGCUCUAAUCGCCAAUAUUUUCUUUGACAGAGAAGUAAAGAGAAUUGGUUGCAUUCCCAUUCCACUAUUUAAUCAACCUGAUAAGUUAGUUUGCUAUGGGGAGAAAUCUGGUAUUUAUUCGGUUCGAAGUGGUUAUAAAUCCCUAGGCAAUUUUUAUUUGGAGUCUUAAUUGCCUAGUGAAAAUAAAAAUUUUGGUUUGGAAGUUUGUGUGAAAUUACAUCCCAACAUUCCAAAAUUUACAUUUUCGACUAAUUAGUUUGGAGAAUCGUUGUUUACGUUGUCAUGAUGUUAAUGAAUCAAACAUCCAUGUUGCUCCUAAUUGUUUGUUUGCAAAAAAAAAAGUGUGGUUGAAGCUUAAUUAUCAGUGGCCAGUUUUAAUUACAAAGUCAAGUUUUAUCGAGUGGUUAUAUUGGGUUUUCGAAAAUAUUACUAGCUAUAAGAAGGACAAAACAACUAUUACCAUUUGGGCCAUUUGGUUUGCCCGAAACAAAUUGCUUCAUGAUAAGAAAGAAUAGUCUAUGGAAGAGGUUAUUACCUUCAUUAGAGGUUAUAGCCGCGAAUAUCGGGACUUAACAGAUAAUCUACAACAUCCAAGACCACGUGAGAUGAUUCAUUGGAACCCCCUCCAUCAAACUAAGUAAAGGUGAAUGUUGAUGCUAGUUUCUCGGCUGCAAAACAGUUGGCAACAUUAAGAUUUUUUAUAAGAAAUGAAAAGGGGUUCUUGUGGGUUUCGAGUUCAUAACCUGGUCACUACAGCUACAAUGGCAGAGGUGAUAGCAGUGCUCCAUGGAAUACAGUUCGCAUCUGAAUGGGUUUUACGUAGGUUAUUUUGAAGGGUGAUUCAAAGCAUACAAUUAAGAACCUAACAUCUCCAGGCGGGGACUAUUCAGAGACGAGAUAGGUUACCUAGGAUGUAAAGGUUUGGGUAGGGUCUUUCUCUGGCUAUUGUUUUGAGUUUACUGUGCACCAGGGUAACUCUGUUGCACAUGCACUAGUGGAGGAGGGCAUGAGGGGGCUUGAGGACUGCUUCUGGGUUGAGGAUGCACCAAUGGAAGCUAAAGAGUUGGCAGAUGUGGACCGUCGAUUUCAACAACCACUGUAAUCAUUUUGAAUUUAUGUUAUGUUCGUGGGUUGGGGAUAUUCUUGAACUAUUGCAAAGGCAACCUCAAUCCCCAUCCUGUAUGUUUCAGUUCGUUGGAAUCUAUAGAAAGAUUUGUUACUAUUUAGGGUUAGAAGUAUCUGUAGAGGCCUGGAUUUGAAGCUUCUAGAUUUUUUUGCUUUAUGUUUUGAUUUUUAUUGUUUUGUUGUCUCAUGUUUUAAAACCCUGAUGUUUGUUGGGUUUCUCCUGGACAGAGUUUUGAACUUUUAUUUUGGUUUUAGGCCCAAUUUUUAAUCUAAACGGUAUUUU